rnacentral:rRNA from 1 species
GAUGAACGCUAGCGGCAGGCCUAACACAUGCCAGUCGAGGGAGAAGCCCUUUCGGGGGCAGAAACCGGCGCACGGGUGCGUAGCGCGUAUGCAACCUACCUUUCACAGGGGGAUAGCCCGAAGAAAUUUGGAUUAAUACCCCAUAAUAUUAUUGGAUGGCAUCAUUUGAUAAUUAAAACUGCGGUGGUGAAAGAUGGGCAUGCGUCCUAUUAGCUAGUUGGAGUGGUAACGGCACCCCAAGGCUACGAUAGGUAGGGGUCCUGAGAGGGAGAUCCCCCACACUGGUACUGAGACAGGGACCAGACUCCUACGGGAGGCGGCAGUGAGGAAUAUUGGUCAAUGGUCGGAAGACUGAACCAGCCAUGCCGCGUGCAGGAAGAAUGCCUUAUGGGUUGUAAACCGCUUUUAUAUGGGAAGAAUAAGGUGUACGUGUACAUUGAUGACGGUACCAUAUGAAUAAGCAUCGGCUAACUCCGUG